rnacentral:misc_RNA from 1 species
GAUUAUCUACUAGACCUGACAUAUGCCCUUCUGAGUAUCUUGAGGAACUUUCAGAGCUUCAGGAUGCAUUGCCUACAUUCGCUGAUGCAGAAGCAUUGUCAUGCAUUGAGGAAGAGUUGGGGCUACCACUUGAUGCGAUUUUUUCAUCCAUAUCCCCUUCUCCUAUUGCAGCUGCCAGUUUAGGACAAGUUUACAAAGCCAAGCUUAAGCAUUCUGGACAAAUUGUUGCUGUCAAGGUCCAACGUCCUGGCAUUGAAGAAGCCAUAGGACUUGACUUUUACCUGAUUAGAGGCCUUGGAAAUUUUGUCAACAAAUAUGUUGACAUUAUCACUAGUGAUGUUGUUGCACUAAUUGAUGAAUUUGGGCGCAGAGUUUAUCAAGAGCUCAACUACGUACAGGAGGGACAGAAUGCAAGGAGG